UACGGGGGGGGCAAGCGUUGUUCGGAAUUACUGGGCGUAAAGGGCUCGUAGGCGGCCAACUAAGUCAGACGUGAAAUCCCUCGGCUUAACCGGGGAACUGCGUCUGAUACUGGAUGGCUUGAGGUUGGGAGAGGGAUGCGGAAUUCCAGGUGUAGCGGUGAAAUGCGUAGAUAUCUGAAGGAACACCAGUGGCGAAAGCGGCUUCCUGGUCCAGUACCGACGUUCAGGCACGAAAGCGUGGGGAGCAAACAGG
rnacentral:rRNA from 1 species